rnacentral:rRNA from 1 species
UACGGAGGGUGCAAGCAUUAAUCGGAUUUAUUGGGCGUAAAGGGCGCGUAGGCUGAAUGGUAAGUCAGAUGUGAAAUUCCGGAGCUCAACUUCGGAGCUGCAUUUGAAACUGCCAAUCUAGAGGGUAGGCGGAGAAAACGGAAUUCCACGUGUAGCGGUGAAAUGCGUAGAUAUGUGGAAGAACACCUGUGGCGAAAGCGGUUUUCUAGCUUAUACCUGACGCUGAGGCGCGAAAGCAAGGGGAGCAAACAGG